rnacentral:tRNA from 1 species
GCGUCCUUGGCAUAUGCGGUUGUGUACCAGAUUGCCAGUCUGGAUAAGCCGGUUCGAGUCCGGCAGGACGCUCCA